rnacentral:lncRNA from 1 species
CCAGGCGUCUGCAAACACCAAAAGCAAAGUGAUGCAUGGGUCGCAUGUAGCGUGGGCAGGAAUCAGUGGGUCCCAAUGUCUGGGCCUGGCUCCAUCUCCUGCUUACUAUGACCUUGGGCAAGACACCGUAGAUCGAGAGACAGUGUCCCCAUGUCCCUUACUCUUCUCAGGAAUCCUAAACCUGAUGGAUGAGGGCUUCACUCAUGUGACCCCAUUUAACCUCAAUUACCUCUCCUAAAGGCCCCAUCUCCAAAUACAGUCACAUUGGAAGUUAGGGCUUCAAUGUGUGAAUUUCGGGGGCACUUAGCCACCCACCCUUCCACCCACUCCAGCCUCCAGGCACAGGCUGCAGACACAGGCCUGAGCCUGCACCAUAUCUGCCAAUGGAAGGCCCGCAGAGUGGCUUUGGGGUGGCAGCUCGGAGAGGGUGUAGGUGAACCUCUCAGGUCUGGGGACUUGGGCCUGCCCAGGGACACAGAGGGGAAGACAGGUGCGUAGAAGGCCUUCUCCUAUGAAAGCGCCACACGACACGAGUCACCACAGACCCCACAUCAUGCAAAAAAAGGGCCUCAAAAAAGCAGGAGCAGGCAAGAUCUGUGGGGUGCCCCAGGCCUUGUUCAUAGCAUGUUUUCACUGUUAACACUGAACUCAGUGCACGCUGACGACGGAGUCAGCCCACGCUGGAGUCUGAUGGCAGCAAACUGGCUUCCACCAGGGCCUCCCGCGUGGAAGGAUGCUCAUUUUCUCAGGAAGCAGCAGAAGCAGGUGGGUUCUAGCAGAGACAGACAGUGUCCACCCACAUAUGUGACCUCCUCCUGCUCCUGGGCACACAGCUGGGCCACAGAGUCCCUCGCAAGUAGACAUGGCCAUGUGACUCAGUGCUGGCCAGCAGGGUUCCAGGCCUGGCCCACUAAAACCUGCCUUAUGAUUUUCUCUCUCUGACCUUCUGUUUCUGUCUCUGCCUCUGUUUCUCUUUCCCUGCUCCCAUUCCCCCCACUCCCUCCC